ACGCUCGACACCUACGGAGGCAGCAGUAGGGAAUCUUCCACAAUGGACGCAAGUCUGAUGGAGCAACGCCGCGUGAGUGAAGAAGGUCUUCGGAUCGUAAAACUCUGUUGUUAGAGAAGAACACGAGUGAGAGUAACUGUUCAUUCGAUGACGGUAUCUAACCAGCAAGUCACGGCUAACUACGUGCCAGCAGCCGCGGUAAUCUGAGCGGGCUGGCAAGGC
rnacentral:rRNA from 1 species